UGGAAAGGGGCAGCUGUCAGCGUGCA
rnacentral:piRNA from 1 species